ACAGCAAACAGCCACAUUGGUAUCAAACAUGUAAACACAGAUAAACAAUGCUCAAAUCCAGAGGAAGGGACCAUACACCAUAUUUUCGGGCUUUAACAUGCCUUGAUAAAUCCGUCUGUACAGCCAUGGGUUUUUUACUCUUUAUUUCUGGAAAAUUGCCUCUGAUGAAGCCUUUUGGCAAAACAGCUAUUAUCCCGAGGUGGCUGUCGUUUGGCCAUUCUCCUGGCAUUAUUCGGCUCCUAUCGUCCUUUGUUAUCAGCCACCUCAGAGCAUGUUGCCUCUUCCGUUUGAAAGUAUGAAUCAUCAGCUGAACUUCAGGCAUUUAUGACAUCUUCCUGAGCACAUCAGUCUCUUCCUCUGGAUUUGAGCAUUUACCAUUUGUUCUGUAUGUACUCUUUACAUUUUCACAUUCGAAGACAUUUUGGACCCCAUUUGGACAUCUGCACAUACGGUUUUUUGUAUUUUGUUCCUGCAUUUUGCAAUUUUAUAUGGCUUUAUGUUUAUCUAUGUUUACAUGUGUGAUACCGAUGUGGCUGUUUGCUGUCAUGUGUGUUGAUAGCUGGCUUUUCAUUUUCUCAUAAUACACAUAUGUUAUUCUUUAUUUAUAUAUAUUCAUUAAUUCUUUUGUCCACGGGUUUUUUGCCAUUGUUCUUGCUAACCCACCAAUGUCAGCAUAUUCUAUAGUGCUUGCAGUACAGAACCCAUCCGUCCCUCAAAUCUUGUUUCUAGAUGUUGGGUUCUGAACCACAAGUAGGGCAGAAUAAGCUAACAGUGGCAGGUUCAGAUGUCACACGCGAUGUUGGCAUAUCCUUCCUGACACCAGAAGUCAGGCUCAUGCAUGUGCUCGGGGAACUGGCGCCUUGGCUCAAACGCCAGUUCAUUGUGGCAUGUGAACUCAUCCCCAUGUACUUGAUCAGCAUGUGGGAGAAACCUCCAUCAGUACAAAAUCUCUAUUACAAUAGAAAGAACAAGGCAGCUUGGGAAACAGACUGCAGUCAGAGCAAAGUCUUACAAGGCUUCUGGCUAGUUUUGUGACUUGCUGUCCCCUGAUUGCCUCUAGUGAAUAAGUCUGGACUGCCAUGACGAUAGAUCUUUGUGUUCAACUAUUGUUGCAAAAGAAGAAAUAGCUGGAUGUCUGAUCAGGUUCCUUGCCUUAUUGGCUGACGCUUGAUGUGGCAGCAAAUGCCACACCACCAUAUUGUGUCAUGCUUCCUGUUUCUUCACACCACUUUAUUGUGUCAUGCUCCCUAUUUAUCCAAGUGGUGGGAUGCUAUGGAUGCUGCAUCCUUUGGGAUGAGAGCACUUCGGAGACUUCUUGCCAUGUUUGUAAUGUUAGCCUAUUUAACCUAAAGACAAUGGCUCACAUUCUCUGCAGUGAAGCCCAGGCUGUAGGAGCCUUGCUUGUGCUGUGGCAUCCUUGUAUGUAUUGCUGAUACAGUUGCAUCUAAUGGCAGCUCUGCUCAUGGGGAAUAAAGAUGUAUAUAUCAGGUGGUAUAGAAAUACGAUAAAUAUAUAAAUAAAUAGGUUCCCAUCCGGGUCAGCCCUAUAGUUCUUGGUGCCCUAGGAUAAGUUGGACACAGUUCAGUUUUGGUUCUGUCUCCUCGGAGAUGGAAAGAUACCUCUGAACAGCAAUUGCAGAGGAGCAAUAGCAGGACAGGGGGCAUGCCGCCUUCUGCUGCUUGUGGGCUUCUCAGAGGCAUCUGGUGGGCCACUGUGGGAAACAGGAUGCUGGACUAGAUAGGUCUUGGGCCUGAUCCAGUAGGGCUGUUCUUAUGUUCUUAUGGAUCUCCUAGGGCCAAAGAAGGUACAGAAAAGAGCAAGGUCUCUCCAAAAGGGGGUCUUUAUUUGCCUUCUUCAGAAGACUAGAGCAGGGAUUCUCAACAUUGGGUCCCUGGAUUGUUAUUGGACUUCAACUCCCAUAAUCCCUAGCCAAAGGCUACUGGGCCUGGGGAUUAUGGGAGUUGAAGUCCAAGAACAUCUGGGGACCCAACGUUGAGAAAUCCCUGGACUAGAGUGUUAAUAAUGACUUAUAAUCCCUCUUUGCUUCUCAGGGGGUGUCCUGGAAAUUUAAACAGGACUUUAUGGGCCUUUCUAGAUGGCAGUAAACUAUGGGUAGUUAAAAGCUUUUGUGCAGGUUCCAAGUGCACUUUUACUCCCAGUACACAAGCAGCAAGAAGCUUCCAUGCUAUUUCCCCCUCUGUACACAUGCUGAGCAGGGACCUUGUGUGAUUUUUGCAUCACCACAUGCUGGCUAGCUCUUGCAUUAGGUUAGGAGAAGCACCCAUCUUUUUUCAUUACCACUUUUGUAUUGACUGCAGAAAAGGGCGGGGUCUUCACAGGAUGCUAGAGCCGAUCAGCAGGUGGCACUGUGAAAAUCAUGUGAAGUCCCUGCUUGGCGUGUGUAAAGAAGAUAAUUUUGCAUUGAGAAGUAAUGCAAAAGCUUGCUGCAGUGUGUGUCUUGGGAGUAAGAUCGCACUUGGAACAUGAAUGACAGCUUUUAAUAUCUCACAGUUUGUCAUCUGGAUAGAUCUUGUACUGGAACCUAUAUUUGGUGCAUGGAAUUUGUGUUGAGGGUGUGAUAGGUGGAAGCCAUAGAUUUGUUUAAAGCAGGCCUGCUCAACUCUGCCCCCCACCGCUGCUGAUUUUGAACUACAACUCCCAUAAUCCCCAGCUGCAGUGGCCAAUAGCCAGAGAUUAUGGGAGUUGUAGGCCAACAGCUGCAGGAGGGCUGAAGUUGAGCAGCCCUGGUUUAAAGGAAUCUGAGAAGAGGGUUAGAGAGUCCAAACAAAUGCUAGUAUGGAACAGGUUAUCUUUAUAUUUUAAGGCUUUAAGGUUUUACCAUUUCCCCCUUCCCCUUAAAACCGAAUAGACUACCCCUUUGUUCACAGUGCUCAGUCCAACAGCAUCUACACCUAAUGUGCUUGUUGGUACAGAGCAGCAGUUUGUCAUUUUCAACCCCAGAAUCUAUUACGGUACUUGUGUGGCUGGCCUCCCACUCUUGCCUGCUCUUCGCAGCCAUUCUGUCCCUCGCUGGUCUCCUGAAGGUCUGCCAACAUGCCAGCUCUUCACUUCUCCGAACCAUUCCUUUUCCCUCCUCCUCUCCAACCCUUGUCAGCUGCUUCCAUCCCCACAUUCCACACCCUUUGGCAACUGUUGCUUAGCCCCCAUUGCCUGGAUGUUCUCUCUGAUAUCAACCACAUUGGCAUCUUUGAAUGUUCCCAUACAGCCACUUAUUUGCAAGAAUGUUUACUAAAUAAGACUAUUUCAUUGUUAUAUUAUUUAAGUGUAACAUUCCUGAGAUUUUAUAAUGCUGAACUAUCAUCAGUGAUUCAUGAUCAGUGAAGCCCCCUCCCCUAAUUCAGUUGCUGGGUGGGCACACUCGCGAUUUUCAAUUUUUAAAAAACGAGGUUGGAGGCGGAGAGCUUGAGCAUCAGUCAAGCCCCAUCUGGAUAGGACUAUUUCCCCACCUACCUCAUAUGGAAGCCGGGGAUGGAAUCUGGGUAGGGUGCACUCCUCCUACCCAGCUGGGACUUGAUUGACGAUCAAGCUCCCCACAUCCAAUCUUGUUUUUAUCUAACACUUGAUCCCAAACUGGGAAUGCACCUAGCACCCAAAUUAGGGUAGAGACUUAUCCUACCCAAAUGUUGAUUGUGUGUGGACUGCCCUGUUACAUACGCAGAAAAUUGAGGUUAUUUUUUAGGAUUUAAUGGUGAGGUCAGUGUUUAGAAUUCAACAAUACUUAUCUUGUCUUUGGGGGAGCCUGUAUGGACUUCCUAAAGGAAUCCGCUCCUCCCAUGAGUCUAUCUACGGAGGGUCUUUUUAUUCCUCUGUCAUGCUGAUCAGUGCUGGAUGGGAUUUUCAGUAGGAAGCUGCCUUUUACUGAGUCAGUCCUUUGGUCUGUUUAACUCUCUGUUCUCUACAUCAGGGUUUAGAAACCCUGCUCUCCUUUGACUGACAGCAGCUCUCCAGCAUUCCAGACGGGGGUCUUUCCCAACCCUACAUGGGGAUGCUAGGGAUUGAACCUGGGACCUUCUGCAUGCAAAGCGUCUGCUCUGCCACUGAGGUAUGGCUACUCCCGAGGAACAUAUGAAACAGCUUUCGACUGAGUAUGACCCUUGGUCUGUCUAACUCCGCAUUGCCUACAUUAACUGGUAGAAGCUCUGCAGGGUUUUGGACAAGUCGGUUUCCAAGCCCAACCUGGAGAUGCAACGGAUCAAACCUGGUACCUUUGGCGUGCAAAGCUGGUGCUGUUGUGUUCUCUCUCACUCUCUCCUUUAUCCUACUCAGUAUGGACAAACAGGACACUAUUUUUCUCUCUACUCUGUUUCUUUGUGUGCUUCAUUUGAGUAACUUGAGUUUUGUGUCUCUCUCAAUAUGUGACAACUGUCUUUCACAUAAUCUAGGAUUUUGUAGGUUGUGUUAAUAAAGCUUUUAAAUGCAA